GUUGCAUUUACAGACUGAUGCUCACAUAUGGUUUUGUCUUACUUUAGGAGCCGGCAAUGAGGGACCGAUCCACGAAAAAAAUGAGCACGAUCCAACCAGAAUGCAGUAUGAUCCGACCAGAAUUCUCCAUGAUCCAACCACAAUUCAGCAUGAUCCGACCAGAAUUCUGCAUGAUCCAACCACAUUUCAGUAUGAUCCAUCCAGAAUUCAACAUGAAGCACCAAGAAACCAGCACGAACCAGCUAGAUACCAAAAUAAAGUGAGAGAAUCAAGUGAGAAAAGAAGACAGGGGCUUCAUAGAGAACUCAUGAGCAGAUUGUGCCAAUCAAGUCUUGGACGGCAUUACUAUGCAAACCAAGCCGAGAUCAGCCAGCAAGCCAGAGCUCAGCUGCACAACCGCCAAAGAGCAAACGAAGCAGAGACCAACCAGGAGGGCAGAUCUCAAAUGGACAACCACCAAAGAGGAAGCUUUUGGAGAAAGAAACCCAAAGAGACAGAUGGUCACCCAGGCCCAAUGUCCACUGUUUGCAGACCAUCAGAGAUGAAGAGGUACUCUUCUGUUGAUAUGAAUAUGGUGGAAACUACAGGGCAAUAGAUAUCGUUCUUCAGUGCCACUAUCUCAUGGGAGAAACAGACCGUUUCCUUGUCUUUUCUGUUCCCUACUAUGGCUGUCUCGUCAAAAGACAAGGAGAUAUUGACAGUUUGACAGUGGUCAUCAAGGCUAUGGUAGAUGAGGGCCAAGUUGAGAUCACCAAGAGAGUGCCUCUCAUCUUUAAAAUGCCAAAUGGCAUCCUGAAAGAGGAAAUCAGCAAGGUUGACAAUCCACCAUCGAGAAGUUAUCUUGGGCACUGAGACAAGGAAGGGCUUCUCAUCAUCAUCUUCCAGAAUGCCAUGUCCCACCCUCUGAACAUGGACACAGUCCAGAUCCCCUCCAGCCACAGCCAGAAUUGCAAGCCCAAAACCAGGACUGACCACUCUGUUAACUUUCCAUUCACCUACUGUGGCGCUCAAUCACAGAGCUAUGCAUUGACCAGUAUGUCAGAACUCGGCAUGGAGACCCAAAAAGAGAAAGUAGAGGAGGAUUACCCACUACCAGCACUGAAGAGUGAGGGAAUUCUACGGGCUGAGAUGAGGUUUGCCAAAGGUGCUGUGAGUUUGUUGAUGCAAGCACAUCAGUUCAACAUUUAGUUGUAUUGUGUGUUCAAGGGUUUUUAUUUGUCAUGUUUUAAUACAAAAACAUAAAAUGUCUCUUUCCAGUGCACACACAUUAAAACGAUUUAAUAGGUUCAGCCAAUUGCUAUAUAUUGUGAGCAAUUUGACUCUUGGUUGUGUUCUCUCCUCAGACUCCUCUUAUAUGUACAUACAUUUCUCUUUCCAAAACCAACAACUACAAGCCAAUUGCAAUUGUUCACAGACGAUCAAUCCCUAUUGACCUAUUUCUCAAUGGUAAACCACUGUGUUCAGGACUUCUUGUUACCACUGUCAGGUAUCCAUACAGGGGUGACAGCCACAGAACUGUGUCUGGCAGUGGUAAGGGUGUCAAGUAUCCGUCACAUCACAAGUGGUUCGUGGUCAGGCUAUUCUCCUUUGUGAAAUUCCAUGGGUUUACAAAGUCUGGGGGGCUGUUAAAUCAUAUACAACUCAAAUUGCAUUGUGUGAAAAUUAUUAGAUACUUUUCAGUAACUGGGCGGUAUUCAUCACCACUUUCUGGGCACAGAGGCUUGAAUGCUCCUGUUUACAGUGAAAAUAAUGAACAUAUUGUGGAUGGACACUUAUGUCUGCCAACUAAUAACACUUUAUCCCCCCCCAGGUAGACUUCCAUUGUGAUACAGAUGUCUGUAAAGGAACCGGCUGCUCAACGCUCUGUAACAGAAUGAGGAGGCAAAUAGGAGUGCUGAGAGUGUUCUGCAGAACACCAUUGUGUGGACCUGUCAUCCUUCACAUGUAAAUAAUUUGGGACACAGUUACUCUUGUUUUGUUGAUUUAUUUAUGUUUGACUGAUUUGUAGUGCUUGAGACUAGGGAGUUCCCCAUGCUUCCAAUGCAGGUGCAGAGGAGCUACCAAGAUGCUGCCCAUGGUUCUGAACAUCUCUAAUCCAGGGCCGGUCCUUGCCGUUCUGCCGCCAUAGGCAAGACCCAAAAAAAAUAAUAUUUUCUGUGUGUUUAAAAUACAAAUUUUCCAAGAAGUUGAAAAUGCCUA